rnacentral:rRNA from 1 species
AUUGAACGCUGGCGGCAUGCCUUACACAUGCAAGUCGAACGGUAACGGGUUAAGCUGACGAGUGGCGAACGGGUGAGUAACACAUCGGAACGUGCCCGAUCGUGGGGGAUAACGAAGCGAAAGCUUUGCUAAUACCGCAUAAGAUCUACGGAUGAAAGCAGGGGACCGCAAGGCCUUGCGCGAACGGAGCGGCCGAUGGCAGAUUAGGUAGUUGGUGGGAUAAAAGCUUACCAAACCGACGAUCUGUAGCUGGUCUGAGAGGACGACCAGCCACACUGGGACUGAGACACGGCCCAGCCUCCUACGGGAGGCAGCAGUGGGGAAUUUUGGACAAUUGGCGAAAGCCUGAUCCAGCCAUGCCGCGUGCAGGAUGAAGGCCUUCGGGUUGUAAACUGCUUUUGUACGGAACGAAAAGACUCUUUCUAAUAAAGAGGGUCCAUGACGGUACCGUAAGAAUAAGUACCGGCUAACUACGUGCCAGCAGCCGCGGUAAAAC